rnacentral:rRNA from 1 species
AACACAUGCAAGUCGAGGGGUAACAGAAGAAGCUUGCUUCUUGCUGACGACCGGCGCACGGGUGCGUAACGCGUAUGCAAUCUACCUCUAACUGGAAGAUAGCCCCGAGAAAUCGGGAUUAAUACUCCAUAAUAUGAGUCUUUCGCAUGUUAGAAUCAUUAAAGCUCAGGCGGUUAGAGAUGAGCAUGCGUCCCAUUAGUUUGUUGGUGAGGUAACGGCUCACCAAGACUACGAUGGGUAGGGGGCCUGAGAGGGUGAUCCCCCACACUGGUACUGAGACACGGACCAGACUCCUACGGGAGGCAGCAGUGAGGAAUAUUGGUCAAUGGACGCAAGUCUGAACCAGCCAUGCCGCGUGAAGGAUGAAGGCGCUACGCGUCGUAAACUUCUUUUAUUUGGGAAGAAACCCCCUUACGUGUAAGGGGCUGACGGUACCAAACGAAUAAGGACCGGCUAACUCCGUGCCAGCAGCCGCGGUAAUACGGAGGGUCCAAGCGUUAUCCGGAAUCAUUGGGUUUAAAGGGUGCGUAGGCGGGAAAUUAAGUCAGUGGUGAAAGCCCACAGCUCAACUGUGGAACUGCCAUUGAUACUGAUUUUCUUGAAUUUAGUCGAAGUGGGCGGAAUGUGUCAUGUAGCGGUGAAAUGCAUAGAUAUGACACAGAACACCGAUUGCGAAGGCAGCUCACUAGCCUAAUAUUGACGCUGAGGCACGAAAGCGUGGGUAGCGAACAGGAUUAGAUACCCUGGUAGUCCACGCCGUAAACGAUGAUCACUCGACAUUGGCGAUAAACUGUCAGUGUCCAAGCGAAAGUAUUAAGUGAUCCACCUGGGGAGUACGAUCGCAAGGUUGAAACUCAAAGGAAUUGACGGGGGCCCGCACAAGCGG